rnacentral:rRNA from 1 species
GACGAACGCUGGCGGCGUGCCUAAUACAUGCAAGUAGAACGCACAGUUUAUACCGUAGCUUGCUACACCAUAGACUGUGAGUUGCGAACGGGUGAGUAACGCGUAGGUAACCUGCCUGGUAGCGGGGGAUAACUAUUGGAAACGAUAGCUAAUACCGCAUAAUAUUGAUUAUUGCAUGAUAAUUAAUUGAAAGGUGCAAUUGCACCACUACCAGAUGGACCUGCGUUGUAUUAGCUAGUAGGUGAGGUAACGGCUCACCUAGGCGACGAUACAUAGCCGACCUGAGAGGGUGAUCGGCCACACUGGGACUGAGACACGGCCCAGACUCCUACGGGAGGCAGCAGUAGGGAAUCUUCGGCAAUGGACGAAAGUCUGACCGAGCAACGCCGCGUGAGUGAAGAAGGUUUUCGGAUCGUAAAGCUCUGUUGUAAGAGAAGAACGGGUGUGAGAGUGGAAAGUUCACAAUGUGACGGUAUCUUACCAGAAAGGGACGGCUAACUACGUG